CGCCUGUUUACCAAAAACAUCGCCCUCUGAUAAAACAAACAUGGAGGGUCCUGCCUGCCCGGUGACCAAAAGUUAAACGGCCGCGGUAUCUUGACCGUGCGAAGGUAGCAUAAUCAUUUGUCUUCUAAAUAGAGACUGGCAUGAAUGGCAAGACGGGGCUCUACUGUCUUCUUAUUUUCUCCCUGAAAUUCACAUCUUCGUGAAGAGGCGAAGAUUAAUUCGUUAGACGAGAAGACCCUGUCGAGCUUAAGUGAAACUGAAGACCUUAUCUUCCUUUUUUACAUUUCUAAUAACUAUAAAUUUAAUUUUGCUGACUAAGGCAAACUGUUCUUCAACUAACUUUGGUUGGGGCAACCACGGAGAAAGAACAUCCUCCGCUACCAUAACUAUUUUUAAGGAAAACAAUUCUAAAAUUUACUAAAAAUGAUCCACUCAGGUGAUCAAAGGAAAAAGUUACCGUAGGGAUAACAGCGUAAUCUUUUUUGAGAGUCCAUAUUGACAAAAAGGUUUGCGACCUCGAUGUUGGAUCGGGACAUCCUAAAAGUGCAGAAGCUUUUAAGGGUUGGUCUGUUCGACCAUUAAAGUCCUACGUGAUCUGAGUUCAGACCGGCGAUAGCCAGGUCAGUUUCUAUCUACGA
rnacentral:rRNA from 1 species